rnacentral:rRNA from 1 species
ACGCACGCUGGCGGCGUGCCUAAUACCUGCAAGUCGAACGCUUCUUUCCUCCCGAGUGCUUGCACUCAAUUGGAAAGAGGAGUGGCGGACGGGUGAGUAACACGUGGGUAACCUACCCAUCAGAGGGGGAUAACACUUGGAAACAGGUGCUAAUACCGCAUAACAGUUUAUGCCGCAUGGCAUAAGAGUGAAAGGCGCUUUCGGGUGUCGUUGAUGGAUGGACCCGCGGUGCAUUAGCUAGUUGGUGAGGUAACGGCUCACCAAGGCCACGAUGCAUAGCCGACCUGAGAGGGUGAUCGGCCACACUGGGACUGAGACACGGCCCAGACUCCUACGGGAGGCAGCAGUAGGGAAUCUUCGGCAAUGGACGAAAGUCUGACCGAGCAACGCCGCGUGAGUGAAGAAGGUUUUCGGAUCGUAAAACUCUGUUGUUAGAGAAGAACAAGGACGUUAGUAACUGAACGUCCCCUGACGGUAUCUAACCAGAAAGCCACGGCUAACUACGUG